rnacentral:rRNA from 1 species
GUGGGGAAUAUUGGACAAUGGGCGAAAGCCUGAUCCAGCAAUGCCGCGUGUGUGAAGAAGGUCUUCGGAUUGUAAAGCACUUUAAGUUGGGAGGAAGGGCAGUAAGUUAAUACCUUGCUGUUUUGACGUUACCGACAGAAUAAGCACCGGCUAACUUCGUGCCAGCAGCCGCGGUAAUACGAAGGGUGCAAGCGUUAAUCGGAAUUACUGGGCGUAAAGCGCGCGUAGGUGGUUUUGUAAGUUGGAGGUGAAAUCCCCGGGCUCAACCUGGGAACUGCCUCCAAAACUGCAUGACUAGAGUACGGUAGAGGGUAGUGGAAUUUCCUGUGUAGCGGUGAAAUGCGUAGAUAUAGGAAGGAACACCAGUGGCGAAGGCGACUACCUGGACUGAUACUGACACUGAGGUGCGAAAGCGUGGGGAGCAAACAGGAUUAGAUACCCGUGUAGUCC